CGCUCCACACUGCCUGUAGGAACCGUCUGGAGAGAGAAGAGGACAAAGAACAGUCAGAAGGAGCAAGAGGAGCCCAGAACAAACUCUGUAUGUGCGGAAGCUCCAGAUCUUGAGGGUGGAACAAAACCUGCCAAGGAUGAACAGAGGUGGAGCAUGAUCUGAGCGGUCCGUGCAGCUUCCCUCAAAGAAAACCCAAACCUGUCGGAAUGGAAGCCGUCCCGUCAGCUCAGUUCCCAGCAUGACCAUUCUAGCGACCCAGAAAAAGAUGAGGUCGCUGCCUGUUUCCAGCAAAGAAUUGGGUGCUCCAGGAUGAGCAGUACCUGUUCUGGCCAGCCAAGCACGGCGAAGGGGAAAAGACCCGAUGAAAACCAGGUAUCCAGAACAUCGGGGUCUGAAAAACACCACAGGAAGAGCCGUAAAAUUGACCUGAAGACAGUUUUAAGACCAGAAUCAUGAUAAAGAGAAAUACAAAACAUAAAAAAUUACCGGUACUUAAAUUAUUGUUUGAACAGUAAGUGUGAAUUCACCAGAAUGGAAACAGCAAACUGCAAAAACAUUUAUCAUUGAACAAAUGUAUAUUAUAUAUAGGAUAUAUUGAGGUAGUAUAAUGCACAAGCUCAGUAUUAUCUACCCACAAUUCUUUAAAAAAGUCUGAAUUGUAAAAAUAAAAAAAUAAAAAAAAGAGUAAUGUAUUUAAUGAAUUUCAGUCUGAAUGUCCUGCACAAAAGCAGACUUUUCUAUUUUUCCCCACUGAAAUUAUCAUAAGAAAUAAUUAAAAAAAGUAUUUGUAGAUCAUCUACACCUGAAACCUCAACUGAACUCUGAACUGGAGGUAACUGAAGUAGCAGCAGCAUCA